rnacentral:lncRNA from 10 species
UAGACGUCUUUCUUUUCUUCAGCCCCUUAGGCAAAAUUGGGCUAGAUAACAGUGACUUCAAGAGAGAGGGAAAAUAUCUGUGUCACCCUGUUGGUCUCCGUAUCUUUAUCCUGAAACUAUGAAAAGACUGGCCAAUUACAAGAAUAAGAAUGGCAAAGCUAUAAUGAUGUCCUCCAGUCACACCCAUCUAUGAGUGAGGUUAAGGACAUGGCUCCAAGUGUACACACCUAUAGACUCAGACUUUGUGGAUACCACACUUAUCAGAAAACACUCUGUGAGAGCCCCACACAGCGCUGGCCAGCUGUAGCAAAUGCUUAAGAGUUUUCUGUCCAACAUGAAUUCUUAUAAAAAGUGUAAAAGUAAGGCUACAUUUCUUUAUAUAGUGGGUGACUAUAUAAAGUGUAAAAGUAAGGCUAUAUUUCUUUAUAUAGCAGGUGACUAUCAGGAAGACCUUUUUGGUUUUCUCUGGUGGCCUGGGAAUAUGUAGAUAAAUACGUGUUUCAUUCCAAAUGUAGAUAUAUUUUUAUCUAUAGUGGUUUAUCAAGUAGAAUGUGAUGUUUGUGAACCAGGCUGGGCACUUUCCCUUAAAGUCAGGCUAUUUUACAGAAUUUUUUAAAAGCUGCUGGUCACCAGUCUUCUCCUGUACUUCUUGAUCUACCUUGCUCCUAAAAUAAGUACAAAGGACACUGGAUAAUGUCCAGCUACCCUUGAUAUUAUGGAAAUAGACAAGAUGACUCUACUUUAUAUUAUUACAUGAAGACCAACCUGAAUCAGAGCUUUGCCAUUUCUACCAGUUCCAAUUAUUACAAAUAUCUUUAUCAGUUUUUCAAUAACAUUCUAUCCUGGCUUGGCUAACAAAAUUGAUGGAUUUUGACAUAUAAUAUUCAUAGACACUAACAGAACUGUUAUUAUAGCCACAGUUGUGAUAAAUUGUUUUCAAAGAUGCAUAUUUGAAGGGAGGCUGUAUGGUUAAAUACUGUUCUACAAGUCCAGAUCCAGAUCUGUCUGCAACACAACCUCAGAAAAUAUUGAUUUUAAAUUAAGUAUGACAUUUAAUCUUUUCUAUCAAAACGAAAGAUCAUAUAAAAACAAAAAGGAAGAUAGAGGUUGGACUUUUGAAAAUAAAUGAAUAAAAAAGUGACAGUAACUCUUAGACAAAAUUGGGUGAUAUUUGGAAAGUAACUUAUUCAUGAAUUAGUGAAUUUAGAUGUCGUCAUCUUUUAGAAUAUUAGUUUAUAAAUCUAACUUUUUUGGUAAACAAUCUUAGCUGAUGAGACAGAUUGUGAAGAAAAUCGAAUUGCAUUUAUAAAGUAUCAUUUGUGUUUCAUUGUCCUUAGACAAUGCAGUGUGUGAGAGGACAUCAAAUUUCACUAUUUUCUCUCCUACAUCAAACUGAUGGGAUCUCAGGGUAGUCACAGAUAUGGCUAAUGGCUGGAUCCAGUAGGCCACAAUUAUCCCCUCAGAUCCAGUUGAUAGAACUUCAAAUAAUAAGUUAUUUUACAUAAAGAAAAUAUUCAAGAACCAUAUGAAACAUUUCAUUCUUUCAGUCAGACAGAGCACCCAAUAACUUGCUUUUGGAAAUAAUGACUAUUUAUCACAAGCUCUAAUGCGAGGCUGUGAGUGUCCAUUGUUAAUAAUCUGUUAUUUUAAUAAAGUUGUCUGUAACAUAUUUGAGGUUGCAUGACCCUGGUACAGCAUGGUUUAGGCCAAAAUCCUUUGUGUCAGACUGAGGGGAGGUGGAGGUGUCCUUCUGCAACACCCAUUUUUUUCCUUUUGAAAUAGAGUCUUGCUCUGUCAUCAAGGCUGGAGUGUAGCGUGCAAUCAUAGCUCACUGCAGCCUUGAACUCCUGGGCUCAAGUGAUACUCAAGCCUCAGCUCCCUGAGUAGCUAAGACUAUAGACACUCGUCACCACACCCAGCUUAUUAUUUAUUUAUUGUUUGAGAUAAGCUUUCACUCUGUCACCCAGGUUGGAGUACAGUGGCCAUGAGGAUGAUGAGCACGGCCUACUGCAGCCUCUCUCUCCUGGGCUCAAGUGAUCCUCCCACUUCAGCCUCCUGAGUAGCUGAUAUUACAGAUGUGCACCACCACACCUAGCUAAUUUUUUAAAACUGUUUGUAGAGAUAGGGUCUUGCUAUGUUGUCCAGGCUGGUCUUGAACUCCUGGGCUCAAGCAGUCCUUCCACUUUGGCCUCCCAAAGUGCUGGGAUUAUUGGCAUGAGCCACUGUGCCUGGACCCAGCUAAUUUUUAAAAGUUUUUUUUUGUAGAGACGGGGUCUCAUUAUGUUGUCCAACCUAGUCUCAAACUCCUGCCCUCAAGUGAUCCUCCUACCUCAGCCUCCCAAAACAUUAGGAUUACAGGUAUGAGCCACUCCACCCAGCCUCAUUUUCUUUCCUUGAUAAAGGACAUCUAAAUAUAAAUCAGAGAACCAUAUACAAAUCUCCAAUUAUCAAUCUAUUAGCACUUGCCAAAAAAACUGCCUGUUUUCUGGCCAUGUUGGUUAU